rnacentral:rRNA from 1 species
AUUGAACGCUGGCGGCAUGCUUUACACAUGCAAGUCGGACGGCAGCACAGAGAAGCUUGCUUCUUGGGUGGCGAGUGGCGAACGGGUGAGUAAUAUAUCGGAACGUACCGAGUAAUGGGGGAUAACUAAUCGAAAGAUUAGCUAAUACCGCAUAUUCUCUGAGGAGGAAAGCAGGGGACCUUCGGGCCUUGCGUUAUUCGAGCGGCCGAUAUCUGAUUAGCUAGUUGGUGGGGUAAAGGCCUACCAAGGCGACGAUCAGUAGCGGGUCUGAGAGGAUGAUCCGCCACACUGGGACUGAGACACGGCCCAGACUCCUACGGGAGGAAGCAGUGGGGAAUUUUGGCCAAUGGGCGCAAGCCUGAUCCAGCCAUGCCGCGUGUCUGAAGAAGGCCUUCGGGUUGUAAAGGACUUUUGUCAGGGAAGAAAAGGCUGUUGCUAAUAUCAAUAGCUGAUGACGGUACCUGAAGAAUAAGCACCGGCUAACUACGUG